rnacentral:rRNA from 1 species
AGGAUAAACGCUGGCGGCGUGCAUGAGACAUGCAAGUCGAACGGACGAUCAGGGCUUGCUCUGAUCGUUAGUGGCGGACGGCUGAGUAACGCGUAGGUGACCUGCCCCGAAGUGGGGAAUAACUGCCCGAAGGGGUGGCUAAUACCGCAUGUGGUGGUGUGUUCAUUCACACCAGUAAAGCCGCAAGGCGCUUCGGGAGGGGCCUGCGUCCGAUUAGCUCGUUGGUGGGGUAACGGCUCACCAAGGCGACGAUCGGUAGGUGGUCUGAGAGGACGAUCACCCAGACUGGGACUGAGACACGGCCCAGACUCCUACGGGAGGCAGCAGUCGGGAAUUUGCGCAAUGGACGAAAGUCUGACGCAGCAACGCCGCGUGAGGGAUGAAGGCCUUCGGGUUGUAAACCUCUUUAUCAGGAAGAUUAUGACGGUACCUGAUGAAUAAGUCGAACGCUAACUACGUGCCAGCAGCCGC